rnacentral:rRNA from 1 species
CGGCGGACGGGUGAGUAACGCGUGGGUAACCUGCCUCAUACAGGGGGAUAACAGUUAGAAAUGACUGCUAAUACCGCAUAAGACCACAGCACCGCAUGGUGCGGGGUAAAAACUCCGGUGGUAUGAGAUGGACCCGCGUUGGAUUAGCUAGUUGGUGGGGUAACGGCCCACCAAGGCGACGAUCCAUAGCCGGCCUGAGAGGGUGAACGGCCACAUUGGGACUGAGACACGGCCCAG